AGAUUAUAAAUUAUAUAUUUUGAUUAUUUUUUAUUAAAUAUAAAAUUUUUAAGUAUUAAUUCUAUGAAACAAUAAUUUUAGAUAUUAUUAAUAAUUAACUGAAAAGGUAAAUUUAUAAAUUUAAUAAAAGUAUUUAUUAGUACCUUUUGUAUCAGGGUGGAUUAAAUUAUUUAAUUAUUUUAUUUUCCCGAAUUUGAGAUAUCUAUAAAUUUAUAUGAUUAUUUGUUGAAUAAAAUUUUAUAAUAUUUUUAUUGUAAUUAAAUGUUUUCGUUCUUUAUUUAUCUGGUUGUUAAGGAAUUUAAUUAAAUUAAGUAUUUAUUUUAAAUGUUAUAUUCUAUUUUAUUUUAAAUGUAAUUUUAUCAGGGAUAAUCUUGAUAAAUAUUUUAUUAUAAUUUAAUAUAUUUUUAUAUUUAUUUUCUUUUAAAUUUUGGUUUAAGUUUUUAUUAAAUUAUUAUAUUAUAAAUAUUAUUUUAUUUUAUUUAAUUUUUUACUUAGCUUUUUUAUUAAAUUUUCAAUUUAAAUUAAUAAUGAUUUAAUUAGUAUAGUUUUAAUUUUAAUUAUAAUGAACUCGACAAAUAUUAUUUCCAACUGUUUACCAAAAACAUUUCUUUUUGAUUAAUAAAUAAAAGGUACUUUCUGCCCUAUGAUAAUUUAUUAAAUGGCUGCAGUAUUUUGACUGUACAAAGGUAGCAUAAUAAUUAGUUUCUUAAUUAGAAGCUGGAAUGAAUGGAUAAAUGAGAUUUAAUUUUUAUUUAAUUUAUUUACUAUAAAUUAAAUUGUAGGUAAAAAUGCUUACUUUUUUUCUUGGGACGAGAAGACCCUAUAGAGUUUUAUUUAUAUUAUUAUAACUUAUUUUUAUUUUUAUAAUUAUUUAUUAUAAAUUAUUUUUUGCUGGGGCGGUAGUUAAAUAAUUAAACUUUAAUUUUUUAUAUCAUUUAUUUAUGUGUUUUAAGAUCUUUAUAUUUAAGAUAAUAAGCUAAAAUUACCUUAGGGAUAACAGCGUAAUUUUAAUGGGGAGUUCAUAUCUAUAUUAAAUUUUGCGACCUCGAUGUUGAAUUAAGAUAAAUUUAAGAAGUAGAAUUCUUAAUUUUAAGUCUGUUCGACUUUUAAAUUCUUACAUGAUUUGAGUUCAGACCGGCGUGAGCCAGGUUAGUUUCUAUCUAAGAUCUAAAUUAAAUUAACUUAGUACGAAAGGACCAGUUAGUUAUACAUUUUUGUAUCAAUUUAAAAAUAUA
rnacentral:rRNA from 1 species